GAUGAACGCUGGCGGCGUGCCUAAUACAUGCAAGUCGAGCGAACGGACGAGAAGCUUGCUUCUCUAAUGUUAGCGGCGGACGGGUGAGUAACACGUGGAUAACCUACCUAUAAGACUGGGAUAACUUCGGGAAACCGUAGCUAAUACCGGAUAAUAUUUUGAGCCGCAUGGUUCAAAAGUGAAAGACGGUCUUGCUGUCACUUAUAGAUGGAUCCGCGCUGCAUUAGCUAGUUGGUAAGGUAACGGCUUACCAAGGCAACGAUGCAUAGCCGACCUGAGAGGGUGAUCGGCCACACUGGAACUGAGACACGGUCCAGACUCCUACGGGAGGCAGCAGUAGGGAAUCUUCCGCAAUGGGCGAAAGCCUGACGGAGCAACGCCGCGUGAGUGAUGAAGGUCUUCGGAUCGUAAAACUCUGUUAUUAGGGAAGAACAUAUGUGUAAGUAACUGUGCACAUCUUGACGGUACCUAAUCAGAAAGCCACGGCUAACUACGUG
rnacentral:rRNA from 1 species